GGGUCUAAUACUGGAUACGACCUUCCCGCGCAUGCGGUGUUGGUGGAAUUGUGGUUUUGGAUGGACUCGCGGCCUAUCGUUGGUGGGGUAAUGGCCUACCAAGGCGACGACGGGUAGCCGGCCUGAAAGGGUGACCGGCCACACUGGGACUGAGACACGGCCCACACUCCUACGGGAGGCAGCAGUGGGGAAUAUUGCACAAUGGGCGCAAGCCUGAUGCAUCGACGCCGCGUGAGGGAUGAAGGCCUUCGGGUUGUAAACCUCUUUCAGUAGGGAAGAAGCUGAUUCCUUUUGGGGUUGGUGACGGUACCUGCAGAAAAAACGCCGGCUAACUACGUGCCAGCAGCCGCGGUAAUACGUAGGGCGCAAGCGUUAUCCGGAAUUAUUGGGCGUAAAGAGCUCGUAGGCGGUUUGUCGCGUCUGCCGUGAAAGUCCGGGGCUUAACUCCGGAUCUGCGGUGGGUACGGGCAGACUAGAGUGCAGUAGGGGAGACUGCUGGUGUAGCGGUGAAAUGCGCAGAUAUCAGGAGGAACACCGAUGGCGAAGGCAGGUCUCUGGGCUGUAACUGACGCUGAGGAGCGAAAGCAUGGGAGCGAACAGGAUUAGAUACCCUGGUAGUCCAUGCCGUAAACGUUGGUCACUAAGUGUGUGGGACAUUCCACGUUUUCCGCGCCGUAUCUAACGCAUGCCCCGCCUGGAGAGUACGGCCGCAAGGCUAAACUCAUAGGAAUUUGACGGGGGCCCGCACAAGCGGCGGAGCAUGCGUAUUAAUUUCUGAUGCAACGCGAAGAAUCAUUAUCAACGUCUUGACAUGACCAGGUAUGAUGCAGAGAUGUGUCAGCCUACUUGUGUCUGAUUACAGGUGGUGCAUGCUUGUCGUCAGCUCGUGUCGUGGAGAUGUUGGGUUAGUUCCCGCAACGAGCGCCAACCUCGUUCAUGUGCCAGCGGUCUUAUGCCGAGUACUCAUGGCUGACUGCUGGAUCACUCGA
rnacentral:rRNA from 1 species